UUUGCAUAUCUGUUCUUUCAUUUCAGGCACCUGCAGGUAUGUCUGCAGCACAUAUGCACACCUACUCGUCCUCUAGUCCACAGCUAGCUACAGGGACCGACUCCUCUGCAUCACAGCCUGCUGUUCAAUACAGUCGUGACGACAGUGCGAUUCCAGAAGAAGGUCAUCAAAUUAAAUGUGAAUCAAGUCCACCAACUCCUCGUUCAAUACGGUUAGAAAGGGUGGCAGCAGCUUUAGCCCAUAGUGACGAGAGAUAUGGACUGGAUCAGAACACAGUAAUAAGAAUCUCUUCAGAGAUGUCGAAUAAAUUGAGGAGGGCCGUAAUGAUAGACAGUGCGCAUAGCUCCCCAAGUCCUCUAAGCAGUGCCAAUAGCAGCCAAGACUCCUUGCACAAACACCAAAAGAAACGUGGUAUAAAAAGUUCCAUAGGCAGACUUUUCAGUAAAAAAGAAAAACAGAAGACCAAAGAUGCAAUGAUCAGAGGUGAAAAUAUGGCCACUGGUGGCCAAUAUGGAGAUGGUUUGGAAGCAGGUUCAUCAGAUACACUUGCGUUGGGCUUAGGGCAAUCUGAAUUUGAUAGAAGAAAGAAAAAGAAGCAUGAAUUAUUGGAAGAAGCAAUGAAGGCUGGCACGCCAUUUGCAUUAUGGAAUGGUCCGACUGUAGUCGCUUGGCUUGAGUUGUGGGUUGGAAUGCCCGCAUGGUAUGUAGCUGCAUGUCGAGCUAAUGUUAAAAGUGGCGCCAUUAUGUCAGCUUUGUCGGAUCAAGAAAUCCAAAGAGAAAUUGGUAUCAGCAACCCUCUCCAUCGCCUUAAGUUACGUCUAGCCAUCCAGGAGAUGGUUAGCCUUACUAGCCCAUCAGCACCAAAGCCAUCACAAACGCCUUUGGCAUUUGGUGAUAUGAACCAUGAAUGGAUAGGCAAUGAAUGGUUGCCAAGUUUGGGUCUGCCACAGUACAGGAGCACGUUUAUGGAAUGCCUAGUGGAUGCACGGAUGCUAGAUCAUCUGACGAAAAAAGAUUUACGUGGUCAGCUAAAAAUGGUAGAUAGCUUCCACAGAACAAGCUUACAAUAUGGAAUAAAUAGUUUGAAAAAAAUAAAUUAUGAUAGAAAAGAAUUAGAAAGACGCCGAGAAGAGAGUUCGUCUGAAAUGAAAGAUGUACUUGUCUGGACAAAUGAACGAGUCAUUAAAUGGGUUCAGUCCAUUGGGUUGAAGGAAUUCGCAAAUAACUUAUUUGAAUCUGGAGUCCAUGGAGCUCUGGUAGCGCUGGAUGAAAGUUUUGACCAUAAUAGUAUGGCAUUAGCUCUACAAAUCCCCACUCAAAAUACACAAACCCGACAAUUAUUAGAACGUGAAUUUAAUAAUAUGCUUGCUUUAGGGACUGAGCGCCGCUUGGAUGAGGUGCACAGCAGGCUACCGCUAAGCGUACAGGGACCACCCUCGUGGGAUGAGCACUUGAUCUGACCUACCAACUACUUCCAGUGACUUUUGAUACAGUGUUAAGUGUGACUCCCUCCUCCCUUCAAUGGGCGAAGGUGGGAAAUUCAGACGUGCUCCAUCUUGGCGUAAAAAAUUCAAAACUAAGGAUACAAAAGGCCGUGAAGGUUCCACAGAAG
rnacentral:misc_RNA from 1 species